rnacentral:lncRNA from 1 species
GUUGGCCAGUGCAACGAAGAACGGAGGAAGCGACACCCCACGUGAGGUUCCUGUGGUUGCCGCAGCCAAUUCGCACAAACCAAGUGGCUAUAAACUCCAGUAUCGGACCUGACGGUUCUGCGGCUAGAAGUCCAACAGGGGUCUCACCGGCUGGAACGCAUGUGCCCCAGGACUGUGUUGCUGCCUGGAGGCUCUCAAUGAGAAAUCCAUCUCCUUGCCUUCAGCUUCAAAUGCUGCCUGAGACCCUUAUCUCAUAGCUGCCUCCAUCCCCAAAGCCAGUAGUGGCGGACAAGGCUUUCCCCUGUUGCCUCUCCAUGUUCUGAGGCUCCUGCCUGACCUUGCACAUUUCAAGACCCUUGUGAUCACACUGGGCCCCAGAUCCUCAGGACACUCUCUCCAUCUGAAAACCAGCAGUGGCAUCCUCCCUUCUACCUCGAUUCCCCUUCAUCAUGGGGUAGUGGUGUUCACAAAGGAAUCACAGGUCCCUUCACUCUGUUUCUUUGGGGUCUUUGGCCUUCCUCUUCUCUUUUUCCAAGACGCCUGCAAAUAUCCAGGAAACUGGAAGAUUUCAGUUUGUAAGUAGUGAGAGCAAUGAUCUUGGCUUUGCAUGGUGCUCAGGAAGCCUUCCCCGCUCCCAAACCAGAAAGGAAUCCAUCCAGAUUUUCCUCCACUGUCUGGAUGGCCGCUCUGUGGAUGCUUCCAUCUGUAUCCAUUGCCGGCACCUGGUGAGAUUCCGUCUCUAGAGCCUUUGAGGUCACUCCUGACGCUGACAUGGCUGUGAAGAGCUGGGUGCCAGGCAUUACUGCCUCCAAGGUUGCUUUGCGAGGAAUAGGUGGGGCAUCAGGAAGAAGCCAGUUGCAGGCAAGGCCUCUGCUGAUGCUGCUUUUUUCUCCUGUACCCAUCCAUGGGAGGGAGCUGUGAGAUGGCCUGGCAGAACCCGCUCUUGGACCCCACAGAAUGAGAGGCUCACCCUGCACAGGAACAUCCUGGGGCAGCAGGCUCAGCACAUUUUAAAUUUUGAGUAUGAACAAAGUAAACUUCAGGGUUAAAAAAAAACACAAAAAUUUGUCGAGCACACAAUGAUUGAGUGCCUAUGGUAUACCUGACGCUUUGCCAUAUCCAGGCUUCAAACCUCAGGGUUCUGGGUCCUUUGAGGCCCAGCUCCAACCCCACCUCACCCAAGCACUCUCCACCCCCACCACGUAACCUUACCAGGGCUGCCCAGCUUGGGUCAUCUCAGACCACUUGGGCCCCUCAGGCCUCACGCCCUGAGCCCCUCAGCCUGGAAACCAGCCUGGACACUAUGGGGGCCCCUGAGGUUUCCACCUCCUGCUGCCCUUGGCCUGAAAGGGGUCAGUGGGACCCCGCCUUGGGCCUCUGGGAGGCUGUACCUUUGCUUCUGC